rnacentral:rRNA from 1 species
CCUACGGGAGGCAGCAGUAAGGAAUAUUGGUCAAUGGACGCAAGUCUGAACCAGCCAUGCCGCGUGAAGGAUUAAGGUCCUCUGGAUUGUAAACUUCUUUUAUUUGGGACGAAAAAGGGCCUUUCUAGGUCAACUGACGGUACCAGAUGAAUAAGCACCGGCUAACUCCGUGCCAGCAGCCGCGGUAAUACGGAGGGUGCAAGCGUUAUCCGGAUUCACUGGGUUUAAAGGGUGCGUAGGCGGGUAGGUAAGUCAGUGGUGAAAUCCUAGAGCUUAACUCUAGAACUGCCAUUGAUACUAUCUAUCUUGAAUAUUGUGGAGGUAAGCGGAAUAUGUCAUGUAGCGGUGAAAUGCUUAGAUAUGACAUAGAACACCUAUUGCGAAGGCAGCUUACUACGCAUAUAUUGACGCUGAGGCACGAAAGCGUGGGGAUCAAACAGGAUUAGAUACCCUGGUAGUCCACGCCCUAAACUAUGAUUACUCGACAUUUGAGAUACACAUUAAGUGUNUGAGAGAAGAGAUAAGUAAUACUAACCGUAGGUAGUUACGUUCCGUCGAGAGUAGAACGACAAUAGAGUUAGACGGCGNGAGACGNGCGACGGACGACGACGAGGGAGGAGG